rnacentral:rRNA from 1 species
AUGUGUAAUAGGGAAGGAUUCAAGUCAAAAGAUAGUAAGGAGAUAGAUGACCCCUUGAAGAAGAGGCGUAAGCAGACAAAUACGCGAUGCGGUUGUGAUGCCCAUAUCUUUGUUAGACUUUGUGGGGAUAACACCUACAAGAUAGACUCAUGGGUUGAGCACCACGUUCAUGGUCUUGUAUCACCUGAUAAGCAUCAUUUGAUCAGAUCGGAUCGUACAGUUAGUGAGAGGGCAAAGAAUACUUUAUACGCAUGUCAUAAGGCAAGCAUUGGAACCUCUCAAGCAUAUAGGCUCCUGCAAGUUAGCGAUGGCGGAAUUCCGAAUGUUGGCUGCUCAAAGAGGGACUUGCAGAAUUACUACCAAGCACUCAGGUAUAAAAUCAGAGAUGCAGAUGCUCAAAUGUUUGUGGCCCAAUUAGCUAGAAAGCAGGAAGUGAAUUCAGCAUUUUUCUAUGAUUUUGAUGUGAAUGAUGAGGGGAAGCUAAUGCGUGUGUUUUGGGCGGAUGCCACGGGCAGGAAGAACUAUAGUCACUUUGGUGAUGUCAUAUCCUUUGAUUCUACAUACACCACUAAUCAGUACAACAUGAUAUUUGCACCAUUUACUGGGGUUAAUCAUCACUUACAAAGUGUAUUUUUUGCUACUGCAUUCUUAUCAAAUGAGAAGGAUGAGUCAUACAUUUGGUUAUUUGAGACCUUCUUAAUUGCAAUGGGAGGGAUAGCACCUAGACUCAUCAUAACCGAUGAAGCCACUAGCAUCAAGAAUGGUAUUGACGAAGUUCUUCCAACAACCGUUCAUAGGUUGUGCAUGUGGCAUAUAAUGGAAAAGGUUCCUGAAAAAGUUGGACCUAUGAUUAGAGAAGAUUCUGAAUUUUGGACGAGAUUGAACUCAUGUGUUUGGGGUUCGGAAACUUCAAUAGAGCUUGAGUCACAAUGGAAUUCCAUCAUUACAGAUUUUGGGUUGGAGGAAAAUGAGUGGUUGAGUAAAAGGUUUAGCAUUCGAGAUAAAUGGAUACCGGCGUACUUUAUGGAUAUAUCUCUAGCGGGCAUUCUCCGAACCACUUCAAGAUCAGAAAGUGCAAAUUCGUUUUUUAACCACUUCAUUCAUCGAAGGCUUGCUUUUGUUGAGUUUUGGCUUAGGUUUGACACAGCUUUAGAAUGUCAACGUGAGGAAGAAUUCAUGGCAGACAACAGAAGCAUACAUACCACCCCACAACUAUUUACGCCAUGGACAAUGGAGAAACAAGGUAGUGAGGUAUUCACAUAUGAGGUGUUCGAGAAAUUUCAGCUACAAGUUAUUGCUGCUAGAGACCAUUGUUGUGUUCAGAAUAUUACACAAGGUGUGGGGGUAAAAAAUGUGACCCUGAGAGGUCGGUCUGGUAAGAUUAGGGAGGUUUGCUAUGACAUUGGAAGCAUGAUAGCAAAUUGUUCGUGCAAGUUAUUUGAGUCACUCGGUAUUCCAUGUCGCCAUAUUAUCCAAGUUUUGAGGAUUGAAAACCAAAAUGAGCUUCCUAGCUACUACAUUAUGAAAAGAUGGCAGAAAAGGUGCAAAAGGUAA